rnacentral:rRNA from 1 species
UACGGGGGGGGCAAGCGUUGUUCGGAAUUACUGGGCGUAAAGGGCUCGUAGGCGGCCAACUAAGUCGGAUGUGAAAUCCCCAGGCUCAACCUGGGAACUGCAUCCGAUACUGGAUGGCUUGAAUCCGGGAGAGGGAUGCAGAAUUCCUGGUGUAGCGGUGAAAUGCGCAGAUAUCAGGAGGAACACCGGUGGCGAAGGCGGGUCUCUGGGCCGAUACUGACGCUGAGGAGCGAAAGCGUGGGGAGCGAACAGG